rnacentral:rRNA from 1 species
CUUAGAGUUUGAUCCUGGCUCAAGACGAACGCUGGUGGCGCGCCUAACACAUGCAAGUCGAACGAGCGAGAGAGAGUUUGCUUUCUCAAGCGAGUGGCGAACGGGUGAGUAACGCGUGAGGAACCUGCCUCAAAGAGGGGGACAACAGUUGGAAACGACUGCUAAUACUGCAUAAGCCCACAGGUCGGCAUCGACCAGAGGGAAAAGGAGCAAUCCGCUUUGAGAUGGCCUCGCGUCCGAUUAGCUAGUUGGUGAGGUAACGGCCCACCAAGGCGACGAUCGGUAGCCGGACUGAGAGGUUGAACGGCCACAUUGGGACUGAGACACGGCCCAGACUCCUACGGGAGGCAGCAGUGGGGAAUAUUGCACAAUGGGGGAAACCCUGAUGCAGCGACGCCGCGUGGAGGAAGAAGGUCUUCGGAUUGUAAACUCCUGUUGUUGAGGAAGAUAAUGACGGUACUCAACAAGGAAGUGACGGCUAACUACGUGCCAGCAGCCGCGGUAAAACGUAGGUCACAAGCGUUGUCCGGAAUUACUGGGUGUAAAGGGAGCGCAGGCGGGAAGACAAGUUGGGAGUGAAAUCUAUGGGCUCAACCCAUAAACUGCUUUCAAAACUGUUUUUCUUGAGUAGUGCAGAGGUAGGCGGAAUUCCCGGUGUAGCGGUGGAAUGCGUAGAUAUCGGGAGGAACACCAGUGGCGAAGGCGGCCUACUGGGCACCAACUGACGCUGAGGCUCGAAAGUGUGGGUAGCAAACAGGAUUACGAUACCCUGGUAGUCCACACCGUAAACGAUGAUUACUAGGUGUUGGAGGAUUGACCCCUUCAGUGCCGCAGUUAACACAAUAAGUAAUCCACCUGGGGAGUACGACCGCAAGGUUGAAACUCAAAGGAAUUGACGGGGGCCCGCACAAGCAGUGGAGUAUGUGGUUUAAUUCGACGCAACGCGAAGAACCUUACCAAGUCUUGACAUCCUGCGACGAUGCUGGAAACAGUAUUUUCCUUCGGGACGCAGAGACAGGUGGUGCAUGGUUGUCGUCAGCUCGUGUCGUGAGAUGUUGGGUUAAGUCCCGCAACGAGCGCAACCUUUACUGUCAGUUACUACGCAAGAGGACUCUGGCAGGACUGCCGUUGACAAAACGGAGGAAGGUGGGGAUGACGUCAAAUCAUCAUGCCCUUUAUGACUUGGGCUACACACGUACUACAAUGGCGUUAAACAAAGAGAAGCAAGACCGCGAGGUGGAGCAAAACUCAGAAACAACGUCCCAGUUCGGACUGCAGGCUGCAACUCGCCUGCACGAAGUCGGAAUUGCUAGUAAUCGUGGAUCAGCAUGCCACGGUGAAUACGUUCCCGGGCCUUGCACUAACCGCCCGUC